rnacentral:snRNA from 1 species
GAGCACACCUGGCAGAGGAAAUACCAUAUUAUGGUCAUGUAAUUGCUUUUCCCUGGGUGGGGCUUAUCCAUUGUAUUCCUCACAUGCUGUUCCUAGGGUUUCCCCCAAACAUGGGUACCUCAAAUGCUUAAUGUGUGGUAUGGGAUGAGUAGUUGGGGUACAGACUGGGUUCAAGCUCUCCCUUA